rnacentral:rRNA from 1 species
GAUAGAAGUUACUUCGGUACAUCGGUGACAGGUGGUGCAUGGUUGUCGUCAGCUCGUGUCGUGAGAUGUUGGGUUAAGUCCCGCAACGAGCGCAACCCCUAUUGUUAGUUGCCAUCAUUCAGUUGGGCACUCUAGCGAGACUGCCGGUAAUAAACCGGAGGAAGGUGGGGAUGACGUCAAAUCAUCAUGCCCCUUAUGACCUGGGCUACACACGUGCUACAAUGGUUGGUACAACGAGUUGCGAGUCGGUGACGGCGAGCUAAUCUCUUAAAGCCAAUCUCAGUUCGAAUUGUAGGCUGCAACUCGCCUACAUGAAGUCGGAAUCGCUAGUAAUCGCGGAUCAGCACGCCGCGGUGAAUACGUUCCCGGGCCUU